rnacentral:tRNA from 1 species
GGAGGAUUAGCUCAGCUGGGAGAGCAUCUGCCUUACAAGCAGAGGGUCGGCCGGUUCGAGCCCGUCAUCCUCCACCA